GAUGAACGCUGGCGGCGUGCCUAAUACAUGCAAGUCGAGCGAACGGACGAGAAGCUUGCUUUUCUGAUGUUAGCGGCGGACGGGUGAGUAACACGUGGAUAACCUACCUAUAAGACUGGGAUAACUUCGGGAAACCGGAGCUAAUACCGUAUAAUAUUUUGAACCGCAUGGUUCAAAAGUGAAAGACGGUCUUGCUGUCACUUAUAGAUGGAUCCGCGCUGCAUUAGCUAGUUGGUAAGGUAACGGCUUACCAAGGCAACGAUGCAUAGCCGACCUGAGAGGGUGAUCGGCCACACUGGAACUGAGACACGGUCCAGACUCCUAAGGGAGGCAGCAGUAGGGAAUCUUCCGCAAUGGGCGAAAGCCUGACGGAGCAACGCCGCGUGAGUGAUGAAGGUCUUCGGAUCGUAAAACUCUGUUAUUAGGGAAGAACAUAUGUGUAAGUAACUGUGCACAUCUUGACGGUACCUAAUCAGAAAGCCACGGCUAACUACGUG
rnacentral:rRNA from 1 species